rnacentral:rRNA from 1 species
ACAGGGAUUGCCUUAGUAACGGCGAGUGAAGCGGCAACAGCUCAAAUUUGAAAUCUGGCCCUCGGGUCCGAAUUGUAAUUUGUAGAGGAUGAUUUGGGUGCGGUAUCUUCCGAGUUCCUUGGAACAGGACGCCUUAGAGGGUGAGAGCCCCGUACGGUUGAAUGCCUAGCCUCUGUAAAUCUCCUUCGACGAGUCGAGUAGUUUGGGAAUGCUGCUCUAAAUGGGAGGUAAAUUUCUUCUAAAGCUAAAUAUUGGCCAGAGACCGAUAGCGCACAAGUAGAGUGAUCGAAAGAUGAAAAGCACUUUGAAAAGAGGGUUAAAUAGCACGUGAAAUUGUUGAAAGGGAAGGAUUUGUGACCAGACUUUUUCUGGGCGGAUCAUCCGGGGUUCUCUCCGGUGCACUUUGCCCAGUAAAGGCCAGCAUCGAUUUUCGGCGGCGGAUAAAAGCAGUGGGAAUGUGGCUCCCCACGGGGAGUGUUAUAGCCCAUUGUAUAAUACGCUGCUGGGGAUCGAGGUACGCGCUUCUGCAAGGAUGCUGGCGUAAUGGUUAUCAAUCACCCGUCUUGAAACACGGACCAAGGAGUCGAACAUUUAUGCGAGUGUUUGGGUGUUAAACCCUCACGCGUAAUGAAAGUGAACGGAGGUGAGAGCCCGUACGGGUGCAUCAUCGACCGAUCCUGAAGUUUUCGGAUGGAUUUGAGUAAGAGCAUAACUGUUCGGACCCGAAAGAUGGUGAACUAUGCGUGGAUAGGGUGAAGCCAGAGGAAACUCUGGUGGAGGCUCGCAGCGGUUCUGACGUGCAAAUCGAUCGUCAAAUCUGCGCAUGGGGGCGAAAGACUAAUCGAACCAUCUAGUAGCUGGUUAC